AUAUUAUUAAAACAAAAAAAAAAUGAAUUGCCUAACUUUGCUUUGCGCAUAUGUAAAUAAGAUUUAAAGCUAUUUUUAUAUUAUAAUCGAUAAUUUCAAUCAAAAGAACCUUUUAGCAUUUAAAGAACCAUUCACCAUAAAGCCUUUGUUUGCUAUAAAAUUUUAAGCUUUACUGAGAUAAAAGCUCUAGUAGUGAGUAGGAUUAAAUGUAGAUGGCCCGCGAAAAUUGUAUUAGGUAAAUCUCGUCUAAACAACUUAUACUAGUAUGCGUGAAAAGUAAAAAAGCAUGAGAUAUCAUUUUUAGGGCUGUUAAAAGAUUUAGAAUCGUCCAUCUUUCACUUUCAUCUAAACUCGGCUCUGAAGCAGAAGUUAGUUCCCGUGUUCUAGUGAUUUUUUUCUUUUCCAAUUAAGUUACGUUGUUACGAUCCAGAUUUAUCCACGAGGAGCGAAAACUCUGCUUCGUGCGUGUUCGCCCCACUUAUAAAAAGCGUCCGAUAGACGCUCUUUCGUGGGAGCUAGAAGCUCUGAUUCAGAAAUCCCCCAUUGUUCUGCACGCUGUGCACCGUUGGUCCGUGCCGGUCCGCCAUUACGGUAGUUAAACGGGAGUAGAGGUUUUUCCGACCUGCUGAGAUUCCGAAAGAAGGAGACAGUAGAGUUUCGGACCACGAGCCGACGCCCUAUCCCGCAACUUUAGUUCGACCCUCGACGCACGUAGACCCGGCCUAGCUACGCUACUGCUGAGCCAACCCGAGCACCCCUCAUCUGGUGACUCCGUCGGCCGUCGAACAUCGCAUGCAUCCGGCGUAUCCCUCGGCGACAAGUAACGUAACGCCUCGAGCUCCAGUAGCAUAAACCCUGCGCAGGUAUGUCGACAUACAUGGCCAUGUUACACACCACAACACACACACUGUACAUAUCACCCACCCGCAUGAAUCUUUCCGUAAAUAGAAAAUGAAUACAUAGAUGAAUUCAAGUUAA